GGGAAUCCGGUGCGAAUCCGGAACUGUCCCGCAACGGUGUACUUGUGCGUGUUCGCGUAUUUCGCUGCCACGUGCUCGCUUCAGUCCGAGGACC
rnacentral:ncRNA from 2 species